GUCCUGGCAGUAAACGGUGCACGUUUGGUGUGGGAGGAUUCGACCCCUUCCGUGCCGGAGCUAACGCGUUAAACGUGCCGCCUGGGGAGUACGGUCGCAAGAUUAAAACUCAAAGAAAUUGACGGGGGCCCGCACAAGCGGUGGAGUAUGUGGCUUAAUUCGAUGCAACGCGAAGAACCUUACCUAGCCUUGACAUGCAUCUCUAAGUCGGUGAAAGCCGGCGAGUGUAGCAAUACACAAUUUGCACAGGUGCUGCAUGGCUGUCGU
rnacentral:rRNA from 1 species